CCCUUAGAUGUUCUGGGCCGCACGCGCGCUACACUGAUGAAUUCAACGAGCACUAACCUGUGCCGAAAGGUUCGGGUAAUCUUGUGAAAUUUCAUCGUGAUGGGGAUUGAUUAUUGCAAUUUUUAAUCAUAAACGAGGAAUGCCUAGUAAGCGUGAGUCAUCAGCUCACGUUGAUUACGUCCCUGCCCUUUGUACACACCGCCCGUCGCUCCUACCGAUUGAAUGUGCCAGUGAAAAGUUCGGAUUGGAGAUAGGAGACGGCAACGUAUCCUAUUUCCGAGAAAAUCUUUAAACUUUCCCAUUUAGAGGGAGGAGAAGUCGUAACA
rnacentral:rRNA from 1 species